rfam:Bacillus amyloliquefaciens FZB42, complete genome.
CCAAUGCUACAACCGCUCGGGACAGGUGAUAAGAGCUUUAAAGCCCCCUGUUGCUGGCGAGUCUUAGUCUAAUA